AUUGAACGCUGGCGGCAGGCCUAACACAUGCAAGUCGAACGAGUGGCGGACGGGUUAAUACUGUCUGGGACACUGCCUGAUGGAGGGGGAUAACUACUGGAAACGGUAGCUAAUACCGCAUACCAUCAGAUUUUCCCCGAUGGGAUUAGCUAGUUGGUGGGGGAACGGCUCACCAAGGCGCCGCUCCCUAGCUGGUCUGAGAGGAUGACCAGCCAAAAUGGAACUGAGACACGGUCCAGACUCCUACGGGAGGCAGCAGGGGGGAAUAGUGCACAAUGGGCGAAAGCCUGAUGCAGCCAUGCAGCGUGUAUGAAGAAGGCCUUCGGGUUGUAAAGUACUUUCAGCGGGGAGGCGUUACCCGCAGAAGAAGCACCGGCUAACUCCGUGCCAGCAGCCGCGGUAAUAC
rnacentral:rRNA from 1 species